rnacentral:rRNA from 1 species
AUGGCCGUGUCAUCAAGCUCGUCUCUCCGGUGCCCAUGGCCGGACCUCCAGCCGGAGCUGUUGGGCGUCGUGCUCUCGCGGCUGCCGUCGCACGCCGACCGCGUCCUCCUCGCCGCCGUCUGCCGCGCAUGGCGCUCCAACGCGCGGCUGCUGCGCCCGCUUCCCCCGCUGCUCCCGUGGAUUGCCCUCUGCGAUGGCACCUUCCUCAGCCUCCCCGACUGCGCCGUCCACCGCCUGCCCGCCGCGGACGACGGCGUCUCCAUCCGAGCCUCCACCGGCAGCAGGCUCUUCCUCGUGCACGGCGACGGCAGGUGCUCGCUGAUGAAACCUUCCCCCUCUGCGACGACCCCUGUCCCCGAGGCUGCCUUCUGGUUCCAGGGAAAGCCCGUCGUCCGGAAGGUGGUGGCGUCCGAUCACCUCAUCGCCGCUCUGGUGGAGUCAACAAAUUCCACGACCGCGAGAGUCAUCAUCUCUACUCGUGGGCAGCCAUGGCACAUCACGAGGUGCUCCACGAUGGAGUGGGCGGAGCCUGAAGGCGGCUUCGUCAGCGACAUUGCCAUCUUCAAAGGAAAGAUCUACGCCCUCCUCACCACAAAUGUGGAGCGAUAUCGUCAGCAUGAACUUUGUAUCCUGGACGACGGCCACGAGCAGACAACCAUCCACGGUACCCUAGUAGGGCGGGAGGCAUGGUAUGAUCCUAACUUGACCGGCUUCUACUUGCAGCGGAACUACCUUGUCGUCUCCGGUGAUAGGCUGCUGAUGGUCGAACAAAGGAUCAGCGAGCCGUGGCCGAGAGACUGGGGACCUUUGAAGCUGACUCGACACUUCAAGGUAUUGGAAGCAACGGACCUGAGCAGCAGCGGCUGUGCACACUGGACCGAAGUCGAUACAUUGAUGGGGCGCGCGCUCUUCGUCAGCCAAGGGUGCUCCGAGUCCCUCCCUGCCAGUGCCGGAGGUCAAUCUAGCGGCACCGGAGUUGAAGAAGAUUGCAUCUACUUUCUAAACGAGAAGAAAGGAUCUAGUCAGCCUGGUUUGGCCUUUCUUAACUUAAAGCCGGGCAGGCCCUUCGUUUCAAAAAUAAACAGGGGAAAUUGUGAGAAUGCCUUUCAAGACUCUGGGGUGUACAACAUGAGAGACCGGACAGUGAUGCCAUUGCUGUCGGAGACGGUAGUGGCGUCCACAGCCGGCGAAGGUCCAUGGUCUCCUACUUGGCUUUUUCCAGAGCCUUGA